GGUUGGUCUGAGAGCAGUGGUGUUUACAACUAAUCACAACCAGUUACAGAUUACUUUGUUCCUCCUCUAUUUCAACUGCUCCACUUGACCAGUCAUAA
rnacentral:Y_RNA from 1 species